UCUCUCUAUAAUUCAUAUACAUAACUGUACCUUCCCAUUUAUAUAUAUUUUUUUGCCUAAUUAGAAAGUAUCUACAAUCAAGGAACAACAUUCAAGAUGUUACCAAGUUUGAAUUUAUAACCAUGUUUGGAUCAAACCGCUCAUCAUCAUCGUUCUAUUUGGUGACAAACUCCAUACUCAAAAUUCAAUAUUUUCAAAUUCUAUGCUCAUAAUUUCACUGUUUUAACAAAACUGAAAAAUUCCAUCUUGGAGCCAAACUCCAACGAUGGUGGCUUGUGCCUCUCCUCCCCCAAAAUUGACACUCCUUCAACCCUUAAAUUCACUCAAAAGCUCCAAUCUCCAUUUUUUGUCAUUCUUUACACCCUAUACUUUCAUCAAUUUCGUCUCUGCCUCGCCCUUCUUCAUUGUAUCAAUCAUCAAUUUUGAUAAAGACAAGAUUUUAAAUUUUUUUUAUCAUAGAUCAAACACCGUAAUGACCCGCUAAGAUGAAGAAGUUAAAAAAGUUGCUGGUAGAAGUCAAAAAAGGAUGAUGAAUCUUCAAGGAAGAAAAAAAAUAAAGAAACGUCAUGAAUCCAUCUUCCCAAGGUAGAGUGUUUGGUUCCUGAAUUUGUUUAUUUUGCUUAAUUUUUGUAUUCAUAUACAUAACUACAAAACAUCAGUGUUGUUAUUUUAACCCAAAUACAUAUCAUGGCUAUGUAUAUGUUUGUGGGCAAUCGUUUGAUAUUUG
rnacentral:lncRNA from 1 species